rnacentral:tRNA from 1 species
AGCUUUAUAGUUUUAAAAAAAAUAAAAAUCUUGUAAAUUUUAGUUAAAUUAAUAAUUUUAAAGCUU